GAGUUUGAUCGUGGCUCAGAUUGAACGCUGGCGGCAUGCCUUACACAUGCAAGUCGAACGGCAGCAAUGGCAGUGGCGGACGGGUGAGUAACACGUAGGAAUCUAUCUCUGGGUGGGGGACAACAGUGGGAAACUACUGCUAAUACCGCAUGAUACCUGAGGGUCAAAGGCGUAAGUCGCCUGGAGAGGAGCCUGCGUCUGAUUAGCUUGUUGGUGGGGUAAAGGCCUACCAAGGCUACGAUCAGUAGCUGGUCUGAGAGGAUGAUCAGCCACAUUGGGACUGAGACACGGCCCAAACUCCUACGGGAGGCAGCAGUGGGGAAUAUUGGACAAUGGGCGAAAGCCUGAUCCAGCAAUGCCGCGUGUGUGAAGAAGGUCUUCGGAUUGUAAAGCACUUUUGGCAGGGACGAUGAUGACGGUACCUGCAGAAUAAGCCCCGGCUAACUUCGUGCCAGCCG
rnacentral:rRNA from 1 species